UGGGGAAUUUUGGACAAUGGGCGAAAGCCUGAUCCAGCAAUGCCGCGUGUGUGAAGAAGGCCUUCGGGUUGUAAAGCACUUUUGUCCGGAAAGAAAUCCUUGGCUCUAAUACAGUCGGGGGAUGACGGUACCGGAAGAAUAAGCACCGGCUAACUACGUGCCAGCAGCCGCGGUAAUACGUAGGGUGCAAGCGUUAAUCGGAAUUACUGGGCGUAAAGCGUGCGCAGGCGGUUUGCUAAGACCGAUGUGAAAUCCCCGGGCUCAACCUGGGAACUGCAUUGGUGACUGGCAGGCUAGAGUAUGGCAGAGGGGGGUAGAAUUCCACGUGUAGCAGUGAAGUGCGUAGAGAUGUGGAGGAAUACCGAUGGCGAAGGCAGCCCCCUGGGCCAAUACUGACGCUCAUGCACGAAAGCGUGGGGAGCAAACAGGAUUAGAUACCCUGGUAGUCCACGCCCUAAACGAUGUCAACUAGUUGUUGGGGAUUCAUUUCCUUAGUAACGUAGCUAACGCGUGAAGUUGACCGCCUGGGGAGUACGGUCGCAAGAUUAAAACUCAAAGGAAUUGACGGGGUCAUAGCUGUUUCCU
rnacentral:rRNA from 1 species